AACGAACGUUAGCGGCACGCCUAACACAUGCAAGUCGCACGAGAAAGGGCUUCGGCCCCGGUACAGUGGCGCACGGGUGAGUAACACGUGGGUAAUCUACCUUCGGAUGGGGGGAUAACACUUCGAAAGGGUGCUAAUACCGCAUAAGCUCACGACCUCUUCGGGGUUUGGGAGAAAAGCAGGCCUCUUCAUGAAAGCUUGUGUCUGAAGAUGAGCCCGCGGCCCAUCAGUUAGUUGGCAGGGUAAUGGCCUACCAAGACGAAGACGGGUAGCUGGUCUGAGAGGAUGAUCAGCCACACUGGAACUGAGACACGGUCCAGACUCCUACGGGAGGCAGCAGUGGGGAAUCUUGCGCAAUGGGCGAAAGCCUGACGCAGCGAUGCCGCGUGAGUGAUGAAGGCCUCGGGUUGUAAAGGACUCUGUGGGGAGGAGGAAGAAUAAGUAGCGUGCGAAUAGCACGCAUGAUGACGGUAGUCUCCUUAGCAAGCACCGGCU
rnacentral:rRNA from 1 species